UGCCCAGCCGAUGUCCGUCGGCCGCACCGAGUCCCGCGGCGCGGCUAUCGCACCACCGCAGGUUUCAGCUAGCUUCCCGCAGCUCACAGGAGUACACGUCGCAAACGCGUCCAAGCUGCCGUUAACGGCUCGGCCGCCCAGGUUUAAACCCGAAGAGCCAACCGUCCCGCCCCCCAGUCCGCGCCCUCCGUCUUCUUAUUGGCCCAUAGUUAACGUCUUGAAAGUCUCCAUCCCGAUUGGUGCGUAUCUUCUCUUGGCCCGCCCCCACGGGCGGGAAGACGCCUGGGACUCGCGGCUCGGAUUCGGCGAGGGCCGCACGCCGCCAAGCUCGAGCGCGUAACCCGGAACCGCCGCGGCGUCGCCAGCAGGACCUGUGCACUUUGGAUUGUUGAGGAAAAAGGAAUAAACAGAGGAGAAGAUGGCAGAAGUCGUUUUGCAGAGCAGUCACCAAGGCAGUGGUUGCAAAGGAAACAGCGAAGAGUCAGGAAUCAGGAGACCAGAGUUCUGUUCCCAGUAAGCUGCUAUCAUAAUUGGGACAACUCACUCAUCUGAGAGAAACCAGUCUGUGCUGAACCUGAGUCCCUGACUUCAAAGGCUGUUCUGAAAGAAACUGUUCUUGAUCUUCCGCCCACUCCAACACACAAGACAUGCCUCCACCUACUAGGAGUUAACCUUGAACAUGUCCCUCUCGCCACCCCCACCGUUGGGUUCUUCUCGACAAGCCAGAACUCAGUGGCAGACCAUGGCUGUCUGUGGACGGGUGACCUCUCAGGGUACUCUGUGCUGACUGAAGCCUCUAUACCACUCCAGCUGUGGGACUGUAUGGCCCCUGAAGUUCCAAAAUGCUAACAUUUGCCAAAACUCUUAGCUCUGUUAUGUCCUUGUGCCUUGGCAUUGGGGAGCACGUUCAGUUCACUUUUGCCUGGGGAAAUAGAAAUAAUGAAUCCCAUAGAGUCAUGUUGCAGAGUGGUAGGGCUACCACAUUUCCACUGUACAGCUUUAUAACAAAAUAACCUUUUGAAAGGGUUCUCCCACAAAGUUAAAGAAUCUCCUGCCAUGCUGGGCCUCACGUCUAAGAGGGGAAGUGAAGUACAGCAAGAAGAGUGUAAGUUCCACAACAAAAACUCAACAUAUCACAUCUGUCAUGUCAACUAGGAUAGUCUUUAAUAUCACGACUAUGAGAUACACCUACAGAAAUAUUAUAUGGAGUUAAGGCAAGAUAUUCACAUUGUUAUUCUCAGGCUCAGGGGCACAAAGGGAAUUUUAUUUACUUAAUAAAUUUGGUGUAAUUCCAAAUUUCUGUGACUUUUAUCCUGAGAAUAAUGUUGUUCAAAGUGGCUGAACAAACACAGGGGAAAGGUUUGGGUUGCACAGAUUUGGGGGUUUCAAUCACUGACGCAGGAGCAUCUUUCCAGAGGGAAUAGGAGGGCUUGCAGGGCUAAGCUUCAUGCGCUGAGCUCAGAUCCCCUGGGACUUCUGUCCAUGAAUUUCUGUGUGGGUCUCACAUGUUUUGAAUGCAAGACACGCAAAGGUGGUCCCUAAGUGAAUUACUUCCUUGACAAUGGCUGGUAAGUCUUAAAUCCCAGCCAGGCUUUUGGGAACCCAAGUUUCAGUGGAAGUUUGCCCAUGAAUAAUGUUUUCUCUGAUAGCAAGAGAGAGAUUUUAUUUUUUUAUGGAGAGGGUAUUUUUCUUAGCCAUUCUCCCCAUCUCUUACUGCCAUGUAAGGAGUCAGGGUACAGGUCACUCUGGAGCUAGAGCCCUGGGAGCUCUUCUCCGGUUUCUAGAGAAGAGGAGACACCAUGAUGGAGCGGAUGAUAACAGCCCACUAAAUCAGACAGCUGUGCGCCUUGUGAUACUUGGAGAAAGAUGCUGCGACUCCCAGUGCUCCUGGUCAUCAGUGGUGAGAUGGAGUCAAUUAUUCCCAACCUACGAAGCUGUUCAGAGAAGUCAGAAGAUGAAGUGGGUCUCAUGCCCAAAGACUGCUGAGACGCCCAGCAGGUCUUCAUGUAUGGCCCUUCCCCGUCGCCGUUACCCACGAGUGAGUCUAUUGCGUCCUAACAGAGACAGCAGACAGAGCUCUGAGAGGUCCUGUCUCACCUCUGCGGUCACGGGGCACAGCGACGUUCAGGACCUGUCCGAGGCCACGCCGCACACAGGGGACACGCCUGGGCUCCCACCCCAGGUGUGCGCGGGGUCCUCUCGGAUGAAGGUCACGUGAAGGAUCUCACCUGGGUGGGUGGUGUGUCUGGCUCUGGGGAUGAGCUUGUGCAGGUAAUCAGCCCCCACACUCCCUCCCUCCCCAGAAGGGCGACCUGCCAUCACCACUGCCUGUCUUCUGUGCGGUGGCUCCUGCCCGCAAGGUGAAGGCCAGGAACCUGAACUCAGGCCGUCACAGCAGAGGCCCCAUUCCCGGUGCCUCCCAGAAUUUUAAUGAAUAAAGCUGGAGGGAAGCGAGGAUCACUUUCACCUUGUCGCCUGUUUUCCUGGACUGUCGCAUCCAUCUCAGAGCGGGAUGCUCCACCAGGCAGUAAGACUGUGUCUGGGGAAUCGGCUGAGGUGAGUGUCCGGGAGGGUUGUGGUACCUUAAGGAACCUGAGAAACUCACUCCCAGAUGCUCAGUGGCCCCAGCUUUGCUGUAGCUGAGUGGGCAUCACAUGGAUGUGGAUAUACACCUGUUGUGUAGACCAACAGGUGGAAAUACAAUCAUGUGAAGAGGUAGUAGGGAGAGAGAUUCGAUGCCAGCAUUAAUUAGUAUUUUAUGAUAGAUCUAAUGAAAUGAAACAGGACAUCUGCUUGGCCUGUGUUCUAAGUAGGUGGAAAUAGACAGGAUGUACUGUCUCCUGGGAACACUGGAGAGAGAGGAUUGAAGUGGACUGACCUGAAAUUUAUGACUUUGCGAUUCUAGUGGGACGCCUGAGGGCAGGUAGGUGGUGGGGAUAAAAAAGGCUGGAGCCUCCUACUGGGACCUUGGCAGGAAUGGGCCCCCGGAUGUUCAGGUUGCUUCUGAUGAGCAUGUUCAUGGUGCUCUUCAUGAAUGAGAGUAAGCCUGGUGAGGGUGGUCCUUGGUGGGCAAAUGGGUGGGCAGAGAAUGGAUGGGGAGGAAGAGAGGGACUUGGUGACUUGACUGGUGUGAGGUGCUUCAAGGAGAAUUUUUCUUCUUCUCUCUACAGGAGACAGAGUCCUGACAACGAAUUGUACGGUGUAGUUCAUUUUCAGUUCUUGGAUAAAUCAUGCCACAAUGGGAGGGGACAUUUUUGAGUUCUGUUCACAUUAUCUCUCUACCCUCCCUGGCUACAUUCCCCUUUCCCCACUGACUAUUCUGGUGUCUUCUUUUAGCCCCCAGCCUUGGGUGAGAGGGGGAGAUCUUUAACCUCUUGAGGGGAGUAACGACCCCCUGACAGAAGCUGGGAGGGUGUCCGCAUCCCUCCUGUGUGUGUUACACCACUGAAGUGUAAAGGUGUCCAGGUGGGGGUGGGCUUCUGAACAGAAUCCCUGUCCCUAGAAUUCUGCAUCAAAGUUUUCCUGUCUUCCUUUAGUCAUUCAGGUUUGCCUUUCAUGUGAUUUCCACAAUGGAUACACAUGCCUCCAUAAGAUGCGAUCUUGCUGGAAAUUUAAAGUGGGUAGCCUGAAGAGAGCUUGUGUCACAGACCACUUUUACUAUUAUGAUCGAGUUGCAGAUAGAUAUAACUACAGAUACUCAGUGCUGUCUUGUAGGACUUGUGAAGAGGGAGCGUUCCUGAUAUUUCAUGACUUAUAUAGAGAAACAUAUUGUUGCACUGAAAACAAUUGUAAUGAUCCUGAGAAAAACCAGGACAUUACAAAGAUAAAAAUGUCGUAUCCCUAAAACAACAAAUAAAAUAAUGAUGAUUUU